AGCGAACGCUGGCGGCAGGCCUAACACAUGCAAGUCGAACGGGCACUUCGGUGCUAGUGGCGGAUGGGGGAGUAACAGGUUGGAACGUACCUUUCGGUUCGGAAUAAUCCAGGGGAACAUGGACUAAUACCGGCUAUGCCCUUCGGGGCAAAGAUUCAUCGCGGAUAGGUCGGCCCGCGUCUGAUUAGCUAGUUGGUGAGGUAAUGGCUCACCAAGGCGACGAUCAGUAGCUGGUGUGAGAGGAUGAGCAGCGACACUGGUACUGGGACACGGCCCGAACUCCUACGGGAGGCAGCAGUGGGGAAUAUUGGACAAUGGGCGCAAGCAUGUUCCUGCCAUGCCGCGUGAGUGAUGAAGGUCUUGGGGUUGUAAAGCUCUUUUGUCCGGGAAGAUAAUGACUGUACCGGAAGAAUAAGCCCCGGCUAACUUCGUG
rnacentral:rRNA from 1 species